rnacentral:rRNA from 1 species
UUGGUUAAGUCCCGCAACGAGCGCAACCCCUAUCUUUAGUUGCCAUCAUUGAUUGGGCACUCUAAAGAGACUGCCGGUGUCAAACCGGAGGAAGGUGGGGAUGACGUCAAGUCCUCAUGGCCUUUAUGACCAGGGCUACACACGUACUACAAUGGCCGGUACAAAGGGCAGCGACACAGCGAUGUGAAGCGAAUCCCGAAAAGCCGGUCUCAGUCCGGAUUGGAGUCUGCAACUCGACUCCAUGAAGUUGGAAUCGCUAGUAAUCGCGGAUCAGCACGCCGCGGUGAAUACGUUCCCGGGUCUU